rnacentral:rRNA from 1 species
CACGAAGUUAGCCGGGGCUUCUUCUCCGGUUACCGUCAUUAUCUUCACCGGUGAAAGAGCUUUACAACCCUAGGGCCUUCAUCACUCACGCGGCAUGGCUGGAUCAGGCUUGCGCCCAUUGUCCAAUAUCCCCACUGCUGCCUCCCGUAGGAGUCUGGGCCGUGUCUCAGUCCCAGUGUGGCUGAUCAUCCUCUCAGACCAGCUAUGGAUCGUCGCCUUGGUAGGCCUUUACCCCACCAACUAGCUAAUCCAACGCGGGCUCAUCAUUUGCCGAUAAAUCUUUCCCCCAAAGGGCACAUACGGUAUUAGCAGUCGUUUCCAACUGUUGUUCCGUAGCAAAUGGUAGAUUCCCACGCGUUACUCACCCGUCUGCCGCUCCCCUUGCGGGGCGCUCGACUUGCAUGUGUUAAGCCUGCCGCCAGCGUCGUUCUUGUAGCCACGGAGUCAAACUAC